rnacentral:rRNA from 1 species
UACGGAGGGAGCUAGCGUUGUUCGGAAUUACUGGGCGUAAAGCGCGCGUAGGCGGCUUUGUAAGUUAGAGGUGAAAGCCCGGGGCUCAACCCCGGAAAUUGCCUUUAAGACUGCAUCGCUUGAAUCCGGGAGAGGUGAGUGGAAUUCCGAGUGUAGAGGUGAAAUUCGUAGAUAUUCGGAAGAACACCAGUAGGCGAAGGCGGCUCACUGGACCGGCAUUGACGCUGAGGUGCGAAAGCGUGGGAGCAAACAGG